CCUGGCAUUUUGCCAGGGGAAUGUUAGAGUUCGUAAACAAGUCUGGAUGGUACCUGGCAAAAUGCCAGAGGGAGUGGUUUGAGAAGUAACAAAAGCGAGCCAUUAAGUGUGGAGAUUCCUUAUUGGUUGACUGAUGUAUCUAGUUUAUGCUAAUUAGAUAAGCUGUGUGGAAUGUAUAAAUACUGCUCCUGUCCUGCAAUAAACGGCUCCUACUCCUGCUGUAUCAAUCUACACAAGUUCUUCGUCACCCCCCGGUUAUUUUGCCCAGCCAGCCGGGCUGCGGCAGAUGGUGGCCCGUACAGGGAGCCCCAGGACACUCGGGGAGGGUGCGUGAAGCGGAGAGGCGGCUGCCGAGUGUGCAAGCCGGUCACAGCGCAGCAAGGAUUUUCCAAGAGGAGGCGACGACUGGCCCUUCCCUGCCUCCUGGCCGGGGAGCUGGCUCUUCCACUGCCUGGAGCCCAAAUCUAGACCUGACCUGGAGGCACAGUCUCGCAGGCUCUUGCUCCCUGUGCCCAGUAGCAGUUUGAGUCCGGGACACUCCCCAGGGCCAUCUGGGGCUGCCCAGGCACUACAGCCAGCAGAAGACGCUACCAGCAUCCCUGAUGUUUGCUCAUUUUCAAUGCCAAUAACUAAGCUACAAUGGUUCUCCCACACCUGGAGGCUAAUGAGUAAUGAGCACUAUUAAGGCUUAUUUCAAAUGUAAAAAACCUUGAGAUAAUGUACUAAAUUGUUCAGAAGGUUGUUUUCUUAGUGGAACGCUACAGGAUUUUCUUUAGCCAUCUGGAGUUCCUGCCUUUGUCCCAGUGCCGGUGAAGACGAAGGUGGAAGAAUUUCCAGUGUUGCUGAAAACCGGACGGAGACUUCGGCUGAGAACCGGACGAGACUUUGGAUCAAGCUAGCUGCCUGCAGAACUUACCUGGACUGUGAUUUAAGCUAGCUGCCUGCAGAACUUACCUGGACUGUGAUUUACCUGGACUGUGAGUUAAUCUAUUUGAGACACUACUUUACCUGGACUGAGACAACAAACUGUAAUCUACAACAAAUUGUAACUCGGUAUCUUUGCAAAUGGUGUCGUUGCUGGUAAAAUUUUUCCAAGGGCUUCUUGCAUGGAGCCACCAAUUGGCUUGUAUUGUAGCAUUUUGUAUCCUCCCCUUCUGCUUGUAGUAGAUUAUUUAUGGUGUUUCUGUGAAAACCACUGUGGUCGUUAUUUAAAUUAAACAAAAGGGGGAAAUGUUAGAGUCUGUAAACAAGUCAGGAUGGCACCUGGCAAAAUGCCAGAGGGAGUGGUUUGUGAAGUAACACCAGCAAGCCAUUAAGUGUGGAGAUUUCUUAUUGGUUGACUGAUGUAUCUAGUUUAUGCUAAUUAAGAUAAGCUGUGUGGAAUGUAUAAAUACCGCUGCUGUCCUACAAUAAACGGCUCCCACUCCUGCUGUA